GAUGAACGCUAGCUACAGGCUUAACACAUGCAAGUCGAGGGGAAACGACAUCGAAAGCUUGCUUUUGAUGGGCGUCGACCGGCGCACGGGUGAGUAACGCGUAUCCAACCUGCCCAUCACUUGGGAAUAACCUUGCGAAAGUAAGACUAAUACCCAAUGAUAUCCCACGAAGGCAUCGGAAUGGGAUUAAAGAUUUAUCGGUGAUGGAUGGGGAUGCGUCUGAUUAGCUUGUUGGCGGGGUAACGGCCCACCAAGGCAACGAUCAGUAGGGGUUCUGAUAGGAAGGUCCCCCACAUUGGAACUGAGACACGGUCCAAACUCCUACGGGAGGCAGCAGUGAGGAAUAUUGGUCAAUGGGCGAGAGCCUGAACCAGCCAAGUAGCGUGCAGGAAGACGGCCCUAUGGGUUGUAAACUGCUUUUAUAAGGGAAUAAAGUGGGUCACGUGUGACUUUUUGCAUGUACCUUAUGAAUAAGGACCGGCUAAUUCCGUG
rnacentral:rRNA from 1 species